rnacentral:rRNA from 1 species
GACGAACGCUGGCGGCGUGCUUAACACAUGCAAGUCGAACGGAAAGGCCCUGCUUUUGUGGGGUGCUCGAGUGGCGAACGGGUGAGUAACACGUGAGUAAACUGCCCUUGACUUUGGGAUAACUUCAGGAAACUGGGGCUAAUACCGGAUAGGAGCUCCUGCUGCAUGGUGGGGGUUGGAAAGUUUCGGCGGUUGGGGAUGGACUCGCGGCUUAUCAGCUUGUUGGUGGGGUAGUGGCUUACCAAGGCUUUGACGGGUAGCCGGCCUGAGAGGGUGACCGGCCACAUUGGGACUGAGAUACGGCGCAGACUCCUACGGGAGGCAGCAGUGGGGAAUAUUGCACAAUGGGCGGAAGCCUGAUGCAGCAACGCCGCGUGCGGGAUGACGGCCUUCGGGUUGUAAACCGCUUUCGCCUGUGACGAAGCGUGAGUGACGGUAAUGGGUAAAGAAGCACCGGCUAACUACGUG